CGAGGCCCCAGGUCAGG
rnacentral:rRNA from 1 species